rnacentral:misc_RNA from 1 species
UACGUAGGGGGCGAGCGUUGUCCGGAUUCAUUGGGCGUAAAGAGCUCGUAGGCGGCUGAUCGAGUCGGGUGUGAAACCCUCAGGCUCAACCUGGGGUGGUCAUUCAAUACUGGUCUGGUUGGAGUCCGGUAGGGGACCAUGGAAUUCCUGGUGUAGCGGUGAAAUGCGCAGAUAUCAGGAGGAACACCGAUGGCGAAGGCAGUGGUCUGGGCCGGUACUGACGCUGAGGAGCGAAAGCGUGGGGAGCGAACAGG